GUGAAGAGGACCAUUCGUUAAAAAUGUAAUUACAUUUGUAUAGCCUGACCUGUUUUAACGUUUACUGCUGGAGAAACCUCUAGAGGGAGCCUCUGAACCUUCGAGCCUCAAAGUCCAAUUGUGGUUAAACACUACUCUCAUUCUUAAAAGAAGCUCCGGGGAGAAUAUAACGUUGAUUUCAUAUCUGAAACGUCCACUCCGUUAUUGCACCGUACUCUGUUAUCUGCGUUCAGGUGCAUCAUGGGACCUUUGAUCCAGCAAGUCUGUUUGGUAACAUGCCUUAUUUUUUCCCCCUGUUCAUCUGCUUCAGUUACAGAUGGAACAGAGACUGAGAGGCAAUCAACUUCCGAGUCAACCUGUAUAUUGUAUGGUUUGGAUUGCACUGUGUGGUUUGCCCUAUGUGUUACAUUUGGGGCAAUUCUUUCCCUGGAAGUGGUUUUCUUGGUAUGGUAUAAGUGCUUUAGAGGUAAAUCUUCAUUCUUGAUACUUUAUUACUUUUUAAAACAAUAUAAUUAAAUUGAGGAAAUCCACUAAUUUACUUUGAACCUAAUAUUCAUUAUCUCCAGCAUCUCCAGACUAUGAGGUUAUGAAGUGGUGGAAAUCCCAUUUAAACCCUCCAUAAAUCAUUUUGUCUCGCUCUUUUACUGUAUUCAAUACAAAAACCUAUUAUGCAUAUUAACUAUCAGAGGAUAUGCACACCACCCAUACAGGUUCUUCUCAGAAUAAUGCAAAAACAAAACAGAAUAAUAACUAAUAAUAACUUUUAUUAAGCCAAUAAUAAACUGUUUAUAAUUAGCGUAUGAACAAAUGUGAAUAAAUGUGUAUGACAACGUUUAUAAACAUUUUUAAACAGUAAAUAAUAUGCCACUGUUUCAGAUAUACAGAAACCUUCACAGCCAGACACUCCUAGCCAACCAGAUGAGCAAGCUGAUCAAUUAUUGCAAACCGUCGAUCAGCCAACUGAUUUAGAUGUGAAGCACGUACAUGAAGUGGAUGUAACUCUGGAUGUGGACACCGCUCACCCUAACCUACUGAUAGAUGGGAAAACAGUACGCUGGAUAAAGGAAACACCACAGAGACUGUGUAGUGAGAAGAUGUUUGAUGAGGAUCCCUAUGUGCUAGGCAUUAUGGGCCGUGCUUGGAGGGCCUACUGGAAGGUGAAUGUGGCGAAGAAGGAUGACUGGGUACUUGGUGUUACCAAGGCAACAGCUAACAGGAAGGGACAGUUGGUUCUCAGCCCUGCCAAUGGCUUCUGGGUAAUCAGGCUGUCCAAUGGGGGAAGACUGAAAGCCAUGGAUGAUAAGGAACAUGUUCUUGACAAAGAUAUUCCAGAUGAAGUUGGGAUCUAUCUAGAAUAUAAGGAAAAGAAGGUGACUUUCUUUAAUGUAGAAGACGCUUCACACAUCUACUCAUUUACCAACGGACCAGGUUAUGAGGAUGAGGUCCACCCAUUUUUCUCACCCUGGAACAAUGAUACAGAUCCAAUCAGAAUUUUGUCCAUCGUUUAGAAUAAACAUUAUACACCAUAAACGGUCAGAUGCCUGAUUAUAGCUAACAUUGAUCCUUUAACUGUUAUUUCAUCACUUGAUCAAAGCAGUUUGAUCUCUAUCAUUGGAUCUCUUGAUCCCUGAGAUUAUACUGUACUGUAAACUGUAUAUGUUUCCCGCUUUUUAUGUUGAGUAGUUAUACACAAACAUUUCACAUGAUGUGGAUGAUGUGGAAACUAAGCUACAGUAUGGAGAGUUUUCUUUGUUGAACGACUUCAAUUUUAUAAUUACAAUGAAAGGGAACCAAUAUGGGGUCGCCCGUGGCACCCACUUUGAUGCCAUUGGCAAUCCCAUAGUGGUCCCCUUUGAAUGUAAAGUGAAAAAUGAGUUUUGUCCACUGUGCCUCAAAACAGUCUAGAUCAAUACAAACUUGGAAAACAUUUUUAUCUUGUCUAUAUCUGUCAAUAUGUAUUGUGAUACAGUCCCUGUGACUUUUGAGAAAUUGGAAUGUCAUUCACUUCAGCUGUAAUUCAUAACAUCUCCAAAUGAGUGGUCACUAAAUGCAGUAGCUGCUUCUAUGCCAGUCAUCAAAUUAAACAGGUGGACUCCAAUUAAGGAUGAUCAAUGGAAACAGGAUGCACCUGAGCUCAAUUUCAAGUCUCAUACAAAAGGGUCUGAAUACUUAUGUAAAUAAGGUGUUUCUGUUUUUGAGGUUUUCUUCAUUUGCAAAUAUGUCUAAAAACCUGUUUUCAUUUAAUCAUUAUGGGAUAUUGUGUGUAGAUUGCUGGGGAUUUAUUAUUUUUUAAAUCCGUUUUAGAAUAAGGCUGUAACGUAACAAAAUGAGGAAAAACUCAAGGGGUCUGAAUAUUUUCUGAAGACACUGUAUAAUUUUUUUUGCCCAUCUUUGCCAUGACCUGUGUACUAUGUCUACUGUAUGUAUAGGCUAUUCAAAUGUAUGUAUGUACACAGUCAGGUCCAAAAUUAUUGUCACCCUUGAUUAAGAUGAGCAAGAAAGACUGUAUAAAAUAAAUAAUACAAAUACUGA